rnacentral:lncRNA from 1 species
CCUCCCACUUUGGCCUCCCAAAGUGCUGGGAUUAUAGGUAGCAGUCAAUAGUAUUGAACAAGAAAAAGCUGCAUGACUUUUAGACCAGAGGAGUGAGGACAGCACUUAGAGGAGGCACACAGCCAACACGUCCAGUUAACCAGGAUAAAUGAUUUAAAAGAACUUUGUAAAAAUGCUGAACAUAAUUUGCUAUCACCAAAUAUAGGAAUCUCUGAAGCCAGCUGUCUUGCUCAUAUGAAAUGCAAUGACAAGAUCCAAAUUGUGAGAAAAGGAAUCCAACUUGGUUGGAACAGGAAAGAAACAAAAACAAAGAACCUCUGGCCCAGAGUCAUUUCUGUUUGGAAAAAUUUCUGAAGAUUAAACUUAGGCCCUGAGUGCACCUAACAGUGCAAUCUGCAGGCUGCCAACGCGUAGCCGUGGAACUAAAUCCAGCAGCUCAAGAGUCCCCACCUGUAAAGUGGAGGAUAAUAAUGGUACCUACAUCGUGGGGUUGUGAAGAUUAAAGAGUAACAUUGAAGAAGCACUCAGAGUAACACUUGGCAUUAGGUAAGUGAUCAAUAAUCUCAGUGAAGUUACUAGUAUUCUUAUCUUCCAAUCACAUAUUAUGUACCAAUCAUACUCGACUCCUUGCUUCCCAAAGAUGCCUGAUGUUUUCGCAUGUCCACGUCUUUGCUCUUGCUGGUCUCUUCAUUUGGAAUAACCUUCUUCCACGUUUUCUACUUGGUGAAAUCCUAUCCACCCUCCAAGGCCCAUCUUGAAUGCUACCUUCUCUAUGCAGCCUUUCCAGAUUUCCUCUAACCAAGUGUCUUCCUCCUUAAAAGAAUCCCCUCUAGGCCUUGUGGCUCUCUCUUGACUCUUACCAUGUUCUACUUUGUAUCUAAUGAGUUCUAUGCUCCUGGAGGAGCCAGUGGUAUUUAUAUACCCUCCCCACACCCUAGCACCCAGCAGUGUGAUCCAGCAGGAACAAUGUCAGCCUGGGAAUCAGGAAGCCUGGGCUCUGGACCCAGGCCAACCACUCUGCAACUUGGGGAAGUCACUUCACAGGAACUUUGGUUUCUUCUUAUUUAAACCAGUGAGUUGGAAUAGACCAGCUCUAAAGCCACUUCCAUCUCUACCCUGUGAAAGUUUAAUAUAUACUCCGUGGGCAGCCACAUACAUGCCUAUGGAAUUUUGAGUGACUAGAAGGAACAAGGUUUGAGCCCAGAAAUAACUGUUCAGAAACCCUUGAUUGCUCUGUUUGUGAAAGCA